CUCCAUCCUAAGUGACUAGAUAGAGUUCCCAGUGCUAUUUUUUUUCUUGAGUGAGCUUUGAUAGUUUGUGUCUUUAAAGGAAUUUUCUUUUUCCGUUUCAUCUAGGUUGUUGAAUUUAUUUACAUAAAAUUGUUCAUAAUUUUGCCUUAUGAUCACUUUAAUACACAUGGACUCGGACUGAUCUUUUCAAUGAAUAAACUUUUGAUUUCAUUGAUGUUCUCAUUGCUUCUUUGUUCUCGCUUUCACUGAGUCUUAUUUAGCAUUUUCUUCUGUUUACUUGGGGAUUAUUUGUUCUUUUCCUUAGGGUGGAAGCUGAAAUCAUUGAUUCAAGACUUUUCUGAGAUGAAUAUUUUGUGCUAUAGAUUUCCUUUUUACUACUGUAUUAGCUGCAUCUUAACAAAUGUCAACAUAUUAUGGUGUAUGUGUGUUAAAUACUGUAUAUAUAAUGUUUCAUAUAUAGUAUUUUCAGUUCAGAAUACUUUUUCAUUUUGCUAUCUUUAAUUUUUUUUUUUGUAGAGCAAGUCUUCCGGUAAUUAAUUCUUUCAGAUUUUUUAUGUCUGAAAGAGUUUUUAUUUCAUACUCAUUUUUGAAAGGUGUUUUAACUGGGUAAAGACAUCUAGGAUCAACGUUUUUUCUUUCAGUGCUUUAAAGUACUUCUGGCUUGUAUUGUUUUUAAUAAAUAAUCUGCUGUCAUCCUUAGAUCAUAUGUUCUCUUGUUAGAUUUCCUGUUUAUCGUUGGCUUUGAGCAAUUUGUCGUGGUGCAGUUUUCUUCACAUUUCUCGUGCUUAAGAUUUGUUGAGAUUCUUGGAGCAGUGGGAUUGUGGUUCUCAUAACAUUUGGAUAAUGUGUAGUCCUUAUUUCUUCAAAUUCCCCCCAGCCCCCCCGAUCUCUUUCCUAACUCUGUUUCCUGAUUCAAGGAGUGUGCUGGGCUCUACUGGGGUUCCUUCUCCUAGAACUCUCUCCAGGCAGAAGACUGGGAAAGAAUCAGGCUGAGUUUAUUUCACAUCACUCAGUGCUCAUGGUCCCUUGAUGCCUAAUGUCUGAUGUCUUUAGGACCACUGUUUCGUUCAGACCACUGUUUCAGUUGUUUUAGGUGGAAGGUUAUAUCCAUUUCCUAUUGCUUCUUCUUGACUGAAUGUUCAUGUUGAGUGUUCCAGGACAUUGAUAGAAGGGCAGGGCAGGAGAUGUCUCUGCCUGAAAUGUGUGAUGUUUUGGAAUCUGAGUGUGAGGUUCCCUCUGCAGAGAACACUCUUCCACAUACUGUUUACCUAGUUAACUCAUCCUCCAAGUCUCAGUCUGCACAUGACUUUGUUCAGAAGCCUGUUCUACGAGCAUCUGUCCUCCUUUAACCUCUCCUUGUGGAUGUUUCCAUGGUAUAGCUAUUUCUCUUUUAGCCAUACUCAUUCAGAGUUACAUUUCUUUUCCUUAUCUUUCUUCACCACACAGUUAUAAGCUCUGUGAAGACAGAGAUGGAGCUGUCUUAUUUCCUGCUAAAUCUGAGUGGGUGUUUAACAAAUGUUUGUUUGACCAAUAAAUAGGAGAGGAUGAAAGCAGUUGUGUGUGGCAGGGGCAGUGGUACCUGGUGGGUGAUGGAUCCUUGGAAUAAACAUUCAUUGUGACUUGGUGUGAACCAUAUGGUAGCUGACUGAACUGACUGACCAGAUUAAUGUAUAAAUAUAUUAAGAUAUGUACAGAAACCCCCAGAAAUCCUUCAGGCUUGGGGGCAAGGGAAAUUCUAGAGGGUAAUAAGAUCUUUCAUGAAUAGAUUGAUGGGGCAGGUGGCGUCAGUAAAAUCUAGGCUAUCACUGUUGUGAUUGUAUCUGUCUUUACAGGCUGGUGUGCAUGGGGGUGUACUAUAUGUACACAUAUCAUUGUGUCAUAAUGUGUCAUUAUAUCAUAUAUCAUAAUAUACAAUGUUAUAUAGGAGGUCUAUUCUUACUUGUUUGUUGCUUGUUUUACCCCUAUGACAUAAACUCUAUGAAGUCAGGUGUUUGGUUUGUUGUGUUCUCUGCCCCAUCCCUGAUGCCAGAGUGAUCUUUUUUUCACAUUGUAGAUAUUCACUAAAUAUUGGUUAAAUACAUGAAUAAGAUAUUUUCAUGCCACCCUAUUUUAAUUCUGCUUAAGUAAUAUGAUAUACUAUGUUUUUUUUUCUUUUUUGUUUAUUUUUUUAAACAUAAUUAAGUGGAAAUCAAACUACGUUCUCUCUUCAUUUUAUUAUGCCUAUAGGGAGUCUGGCUACUGAGAUUAAAAUGGUUUAACUAAGGCUCCAAUGUCCACCUGGUGGCAGCUUAACUUAAUCACAGUCAAAUUACCUCAGAGGAAAUUAACAGCUUUCCAAGAGCUGAGCUUGACAACUCAAACAUGCAGAAGCCCCAGGGUGCCCACGUGUCCACGCUGUGCCUGGCUCUGGAGACAAGGGCAGCACCGUGAAAACUCCUACAAAUCAACAAGAAAAAGCCAGAUGUCCAGUAGAAAAUUGAGCAACAGACCUGACCAGCAUUGACAUGCCAAGCAUGGUGCCCUGUGAACAUCCAGGCCAUUCCUCCUAAAGUUUCAUCACACUCCAUGUGUAUCCACCAGAACUGAUCUAUCCAGUCUCCCAGGCAGUGAUGGUCAUUCAGAUUACUCUGAAUCCCUGUCACAAUAAGCAAGGUAGUUGAUGGGCAUUUUCAUGUAUGUUGCUUGUGGGUCUUUGGGAGAAUUUCUUAGACUACAUACCUAGGAGUGUUACACUGGGUCAUAAAGUGUGUGUACACUAGAUUUAACUAAAUAGCUGUUGGGAAUGCUCAAUCAUUCUUCUCCCCGCAGGAGUGUAUGUGGGUCCUUACAUCCCCACUUGCUACUCACAGUUGGGAUUGCCUGGUUUUACAUUUAAACCACAUUAACAGUGGUACCAUGAUAGUUCAUGAUGGUUUUUCUUUGUGUCUGUGAGUGCCACUGAGUGUGAACAUCUCUUGAUCAACUUCUUAGCCCUUGUGGUUUGUUCUAUUUUAAUUGUCUGUUCAUAUUUUGCACAUUUUUUUUCUCUUGGGUUAUCUGUCUCUUCUGCACUUAAAGGGAUUUCUUGUAUAUUUGUACAUUGUCAGUUUUAAAUAAUCCAAAUAUUUUCUUACAGUCUGUCAUUUCUCCAUUAAAUAAAAAUACUUCAUUUUGAUGUAAUUAUAUCCAACACAUUUUUUUUUUUUUUUGCCUGAGGAGUACUAUUUUCCGAGUAUUUUAAAAAGAAUUUUUUCCUACGUCUAAAUCACAGAUACAUUUUCUGACAUUUUCUUCUAUUGAUUUUCUAUUUUAUCUUUCAUUAAUCUAUCUGGAUUAUAUUUUCAUAUGUGAUGUUAUUUAGGAAUACAAUUUUAUUUUCUCUCAUAUACAAAACAAUCUGUUCUUUUGCCUUUGAUUCAUGGUGCUAUAUAGCUACAUUUCUACAUUUAUUAAAUUUUCACCUAUACAUCGUCUUUCUCUGAGUUUGCUCUUUUGUUCCAUUAACCUGUUUGCCAGUCUGUUCUUUUAUCAAUACCAUAGGUUAGGACUGGUAGCUUACCAUGGCUACAAAUCAUCUCUGAUCAUUCCUGCUGAAAGGGCCAAACUGCAAGCCUUACUUUUCCCCAAACUGAGCAGUUUCUGCAGCUGGUCAUGUGGGCAGCCAAGUAGGUACGCAAUCAUAGCACAGCUACUUCUUACUCUCUGGCGGGGGAAAUGGGAAGAGAGAGGGAGAGCCUGUCUUGUUUGCUGCUUAUGACAGAAGGUGCUACACCCACCGGGGUGGGGCUGUUUGGACUGCUGUUGUGCCCCACUUUUAUUGGUCCCACUACUAAAUGUAUAAUUACCAUUGAUGUUUCACAUGCUUGUGCUGUGAGCCCACAUAAAAUUCAAGGGGGAUUGUCCCAAUUGUUUUUAUUUUAUUUUUUUGUCUUUUUAGGGCUGUACCUGCAGCACAUGGAGUUUCCCAGGCUAGGGGUCUAAUUGGAGCCGUAGCCACCGGCCUGCACCAC